rnacentral:rRNA from 1 species
UACGAAGGGGGCUAGCGUUGUUCGGAAUCACUGGGCGUAAAGCGCACGUAGGCGGAUUGUUAAGUCGGGGGUGAAAUCCUGAGGCUCAACCUCAGAACUGCCUUCGAUACUGGCAAUCUCGAGUCCGGAAGAGGUUGGUGGAACAGCUAGUGUAGAGGUGAAAUUCGUAGAUAUUAGCUAGAACACCAGUGGCGAAGGCGGUUCUCUGGGCCUUACCUGACGCUGAGGAGCGAAAGCGUGGGGAGCGAACAGG